rnacentral:rRNA from 1 species
CCUACGGGCGGCAGCAGUGGGGGAUAUUGCACAAUGGGGGAAACCCUGAUGCAGCGACGCCGCGUGUGGGAAGACGGUCCUCUGGAUUGUAAACCACUGUCCCCAGGGACGAAGAUGACGGUACCUGGGGAGGAAGCUCCGGCUAACUACGUGCCAGCAGCCGCGGUAAUACGUAGGGAGCGAGCGUUGUCCGGAAUUACUGGGUGUAAAGGGAGCGUAGGCGGGACUGCAAGUUGGGGGUCAAAUCUACGGGCUCAACCGGUAGCCGCACUCAAAACUGCAGGUCUUGAGUGAAGUAGAGGCAGGCGGAAUUCCUAGUGUAGCGGUGAAAUGCGUAGAUAUUAGGAGGAACACCAGUGGCGAAGGCGGCCUGCUGGGCUUUUACUGACGCUGAGGCUCGAAAGUGUGGGGAGCAAACAGGAUUAGAUACCCGUGUAGUC